AUUGAACGCUGGCGGCAGGCCUAACACAUGCAAGUCGAGCGGAUGAAGGGAGCUUGCUCCUGGAUUCAGCGGCGGACGGGUGAGUAAUGCCUAGGAAUCUGCCUGGUAGUGGGGGAUAGCGUCCGGAAACGGGCGCUAAUACCGCAUACGUCCUGAGGGAGAAAGUGGGGGAUCUUCGUACCUCACGCUAUCAGAUGAGCCUAGGUCGGAUUAGCUAGUUGGUGGGGUAAAGGCCUACCAAGGCGACGAUCCGUAACUGGUCUGAGAGGAUGAUCAGUCACACUGGAACUGAGACACGGUCCAGACUCCUACGGGAGGCAGCAGUGGGGAAUAUUGGACAAUGGGCGAAAGCCUGAUCCAGCCAUGCCGCGUGUGUGAAGAAGGUCUUCGGAUUGUAAAGCACUUUAAGUUGGGAGGAAGGGCAGUAAGUUAAUACCUUGCUGUUUUGACGUUACCAACAGAAUAAGCACCGGCUAACUUCGUG
rnacentral:rRNA from 1 species